rnacentral:rRNA from 1 species
AACGAACGCUGGCGGCAUGCCUAACACAUGCAAGUCGAACGAGACCUUCGGGUCUAGUGGCGCACGGGUGCGUAACGCGUGGGAACCUGCCCUUAGGUUCGGAAUAACUCCCCGAAAGGGGUGCUAAUACCGGAUAAUGUCUUCGGACCAAAGAUUUAUCGCCUUUGGAUGGGCCCGCGUUGGAUUAGCUAGUUGGUAGGGUAAAAGCCUACCAAGGCGACGAUCCAUAGCUGGUCUGAGAGGAUGAUCAGCCACACUGGGACUGAGACACGGCCCAGACUAGCAUGCGGGAGAGACGCGGGGAGGGUGAGGCCGUCGUCGGAGUUCUGAACCUCCGAUGCCGGGUGAGAGACGAACGCCUCAGGGAGAGAACGCGCUUUUACCCUCCAUGCCAGCGGCCGCACAAGUAGCAGAAGCUCCCUCUAACGCCG